rnacentral:rRNA from 1 species
AUGCUGCGAGGCAUGGGGUUUGACAAUACAACCUUCCUCUACGUUGCCUCCGGUAAAAUAUACAAUGCUGCAAAAUACAUGGGUCCCCUUCGCCGGAUGUUCCCUCUUUUACAAACCAAGGACACUCUUGCAUUGUCUGAAGAGCUUGCUGAGUUUGAGGGGUACUCUUCUCGGUUAGCAGCAUUAGAUUACACCGUCUGUGUUCAGAGCGAAGUGUUUGUGACGACUCAAGGGGGGAACUUCCCUCACUUUUUGAUGGGACACAGGCGUUACCUGUUAGGAGGGAAUGCAAAGACAAUAAAACCCGACAAACGGAAGCUGGUCUUAUCUUUUGACGACCCAAAUAUCAGAUGGAGUCGAUUCAAGCACCACAUGCUGGAAAUACUGCACCAUAGUGACAUAAGGGGCAUCGCAUUCAGGAAACCUAAUGAUUCCAUAUACACCUUCCCAAUGCCUGAUUGCAUGUGCCAACAAGAUGGAAUAUGA